UUGGUUUGGUAGCCUGAUAAGUUACUUUUGGAUCACCCUCAGGCCUUUUUAAGAUAUUGAUAGGAAAGAUGGAGGGUAGCAUUCAUACAAGGGAGGGUGCUUUAAGGACCAAGGCUUACUUGAUCCCCUUUGGAAUUGCUGCUGAAUGCUGUGCUAAAUGCCCCAGGGAGGACUUUUCACAGGUUGGUUGGAGCUUGAAUAUUUCCCAACCUUGUACGUACUCUGUAACUAGUUUACAGCUCCUGGUCAUUUCUUACCCAGACUUAUGAAAUUCACCCCCAUGUAUAUAUAGUGUAUUAUUUGACAAAGACUCAUGGGCACCUUCAACUGGAUUUCUGCAGCUCUUUUUCAGCAUAGAUCUUCCUUUCCAUAAAUCUGCCCUGCAACUUCUAGAUGCCUUCCCCUCCCCAAGCUCUCAUCUCCUCAGUUCAGUAGGUGAAACUAGCUCUGACUUAUUCCUCCUCCUACCCACAGUCUGGACAUUGCCUCCAUACAGAAAGCUAGGGCAGUUGUGGAUUCAUCUCAUAAUUUCCCUUCUCUUAGGAGCUAUGGUCUUGCAUUACCUAUUUUCCUGUGUGAGAGAGCAAUUGUUUCAUGCAUUUUGUGCCAUUUGCUAGUUUCUUUUGCAGGAGGUUAAGUCUAGUGCAUGUUAUUCCAUCAUAGCCAAAAACAGGGUCUGAAAUUGGGAUUUUAACACACAGUCUGUUCCUAUCGACUGAAAUAUAACUGGAUACAUGUAAUUCAGCUCUCUGACUAGACUACAGUAGCAGUGUCAUUUUAUUUUUAGAUCGAACCAAACAGCCCUUCCUAGGCAUGCCAAAUUGUUCUGUGCUUAUUGAUCAGUGAAUGGAUAAAACCAAAUUGUUGUUUAAAGACUGAGGCAAAUAGCUUUGUAGUUGAUACAGCAGGAUCAGCAAUAUUGUCAUAAAAGAUAUUCUGCUAGAUGGAGCCUCUUGGAUAACUUGGAACCAAUGACAUAGCUAUUCAGAUAGUUCAAGCCUUUUUUAUUUUUUUUUAAACAUCAAGGAGGGCAUAUGAAGAACUGAUUGUAUAUGUUUUUCUCCUUAAAGGAAUAUUGAAAUUAAUUUUUUUUCUUUGCCUCAGUAUUUUAAUUUGAUUCAACUCAUCAGAAUCAGCCAUUAAAAGAGGUAACUAGGGAGUAAUUUUUCUUGUCAUGUGGGUAUUAAAUGGGCAUUUUCUUGUCAAGAACAUCUAGGUUAUAUUCAAAAAUUAACUCAAAUUGGGUCAAAGACCUAGGUAUAAAAUCAGAAACUUUGCAAUUGCUAGACUAAAACAUAGGGAAGCACAUAUAAGCACAAACAAUGACUUCCUGAAUAAGACUAUCCUCAAGAAAUAAUACCAAGUGUCAAUAAAUGAGAUAGCAUCAAAUUUAAAAGCUUCAGCACAGCAAAGGGAACAUUUAACAUUGUGAAGAGAGAGCCUACAGAAUGAGAGGAAAUCUUUGUUAGCUACUCUCUGACAGGGUUAAUAUCUAGAAUAUAAAAAGAACUAAAAAAC
rnacentral:lncRNA from 1 species